GAGAGAGAGAGAGAGAGAGAGAGAAAAGUAAGCGAUGCAUAUGCAUAUCGACUCCUUCUCGAAAGUAAAGAUCUCCUCUUUUCUAUGAUGAUUAUGGUCGUCUCCUUCUCGAAAGUUUUCUUCUUUCUCUCAUCACUGAAACUGAACCAGAGCGCGAGGCUCACGCUGAGGCUUGAGCAUUGUCCGUUCGUCGUCCGGUGCGAAGCUUCUUCCAACGGAAGGGAAGAAGCCGGAUAUGAAGCUGUGCUGGUGUAGAUAAGCUGAGCAAGAAGAAGAAAAAGAGAAAGAGGGAGAAGAUAGAUAUGAAUUAAUUUUUUUUUUUUAAUUUUGAAUUAUUUAAUUAUGAAUUAUGUUUAGGUGUAGUUUUUAAUUUUAUUUUUUAAUUUGGUUUGGUUUGAUAAUUAUUUUUAAUAAAUUUUUUGGAUAAUUAAAAAUAAAUUAAUAACACGAAACAUUUGCUAUUGUU